rnacentral:misc_RNA from 1 species
GAGAUUCGUGGCGCAAGCCACAACCACACACACACCGUGAACCGUGGGCUUCGGCCCCCAUUACAAACUCUUGCUGUAUAAGAACGUGAAACAUAUGUAACAAUGAAA